UAGCUCUUCUAAAAAUCAAAUUUAGAAAACCACAAUUUUCCACGAUUGAUCGUUUGGGGAUAAUCCUUAAAGUGUCAUUAUUUCAGUUGUCAAAGCAAAAUUUAUGGAAACCUAUAGGUAAAGGCAAGACUGAGCGAGGCCAGGGAUCGAACCCGCAUCCUCAUGGAAUCAUUACCCCUGAGCCACAAUGGAAAUUCCCAGGUUUCCCAACUUUUAGACUGGCAUUCUACUCUUCUAGUGCCCUGCCUCUCUUCCUCAGACUGAUUGCUCUGAGUUAUCCCCAAAUUGCCAGGCAGCUGAAGCUCAGCCGUCUGUUUAGAACUGCAGAGUCUCUGGACACUCUGCCUCUGUGGAUGCUCAGGUUUGGUGAGCCCCAGCGUGGAUCGUAGCACCAGACGUUUUGUCAAGGUUCUGCCCCCAUCUCCCGCACUUUCCCCCAUCCCUUUUUUCAUUCAUUCAGCAAACGUUUAUUGAAUUCAAAGUAGGUAUCAAGCACCAUGUUAAGUGAUGCGUGGAACACAGCCUGCCUUCACGGGCACAGAGGUGAGAUGGAAAUCAUAUGUAAAUAAUUGCUCAGGGAGUUCCCGUUGUGGCUUGGUGGUUAACGAAUCUGACUCGGAACCAUGAGGUUGCAGGUUCGAUCCCUGGCCGUGCUCAGUGGGUUAAGAAUCCGGCGUUGCCGUGAGCUGGGGUGUAGGUCGCAGACGCGGCUCAGAUCCCACGUUGCUGUGGCUCUGGCGUGGUCCGGUGGCGACACCCCUAGCCUGGGGAAUCUCCAUGUGCCGCGGGAGCAGAUCAAGAAAUGGCAAAAAGACAAAAAAAGAAAAAAGAACUCUCUCAGAAGGCCUCCACAAGUGCCAUGUGCAGGUGUAACACAGUGGGAGUCCUGGGGAAAGGAGAUGAUGCCUGCUUCCUGCUCGAGGUGGCUGACGCUGGAGGGUGGGUAGGAAUUGACGUGCAGAGAUGAGGAGAGGACCCUCCUGCCAGAGGGAACAGGGGUUCAGAGGCUCAGAGGCCCGGGAGCACCAGGGUUCCAGGCAGACCAGUCUGCUUUCAAGAGGGCAGCAGUACAUGAGGCAGCCGAGAAAGAAAGACAAGGGAGUCCUGCAGGGCGGAGGGAACGUGGGCCCUGGGAUCAGACCAGCCAGCCCUGCUUCUGCCACUUUCCAGUCGUAUUUUGUUAUCUCUGUGGAUGUUGCUUUUCUCCUCUGUACGUGAGGAUAAACGGUCCUGACAGGAGAUUAUGAGGGUUAAAUGGAAAAAUGAUUGUAAAAUGAUUAUGAGCGUUAUUGUUGGUGUUCACUUAGUAGCACCUUGUUUCUCACUGCUGAGACCGUUGAUCUUGUUUUCUGCAGGCAAUAAGGUUGUUCUUAAAUUAGCAAAUUACGUAUUGAUACAGUGAUCUGCCUUGGCAGAGACAUAGAAAUCGCAGUAGGUCCUUCUCGUGCUGGAAAAAUUAAGAAGCAGUAAGAACUAAGUCACACGUAGGCACCACCAUAAAGGAAUGUUCGUCUUGGGCCCUUUCACCUUUUCGUUGCCACCUCAAUGCCCAAGGAAGCCACUCUUGUUCUCCAGGGUUAGGGUUGCCAGUUUGAGCAAUUAAAAAUACAAGAUGCCCAGUUAAAUAUGAACUCCAUGUAAACAGCAAAUCAUUUCGUAUAAGUAUGCCCCAUGCAAUAUUCAGGACAUGCGUACACAGAAAUGUUAUUUGAAGUGGCUUUGAACUUGACGUUUAUGUGCGCAUCCCGUAUGCCGGGACAGCUCGAGCAUCAGUCGGACACUCUCCCUGCCUCCUUGGGAAGGGGACCUGCCGUCUUCUGGUCCCCACCCCCACCCCAGGUCAUAAAGGCUAUGCUCAGCAGACUUGGCGGUGCCUUCAGAUCACUUCCUGGGUACAGACAUGCUGAUGGGUCCCGCAUGUGUGUUUGAGCUGGGGCAGGAUGUCUUGUACCAGCCUCCACUGUCUUCAGACCAUUCUCAUAGAUAAUUGGCAGAAAGAAGGCAGCCUUUGUGAUCUGGUAACUCAUCUCAUGGAAUAAGAGCAAGCCCUUUUCCAGAGUGUCUUCCAGGAACGUUGCUAAAAGUGGGAACUUCAGCUGUCCCUGUGGUGUGAGCGACUUGAGACAGCCAGAGCAGGCAUGACGGUAACUAACCAGAUGCUCCCUGCCCUGGGGUGUCUGGGGACCACGGCCUGGGGCUGGAAGGACCGUCCACUGCCCCGCUGUGCAGGUGAAACAGAGGAGACCAGAGAAGGGAAAGGCUUUUUAUCCAGAAUGUGAGUCUGAACUGAGUCUGGAUCUGCUACUUUGGGUUCUUCCGUAGUAAGUCAGGGGAUCUGAGAAUUCCCGCCACACUUGUCUGGUUGACUCGUGAACAUUUUCUCCAGGUUAUUUGAUAACUGUCAUCCCCAGAUCGCCCCUUGGCGGCGUGUCCUUUGGCACUGCCACUCUGGGUUUUCUGCUUGCCUCAUCCUCUGCCUCAGGCUGACUUUGUUCAACCCCGAACAGCAAAGUCACUGCGGGUGGGGCGUUCGUGGCACUUUCUAGCCCAGCAUGAUCUUGGCCGUCCCCGACAGGGCUGCCUUGCUGGCCCUUUCGCCCCACCCAGACCUGUUCCAGGGCUGAGAUGGAAAAAUCCAUCUCCGAGCAGAUGGCUGUUUAACCUCGGUUUCAGAGGAGUAAUUUGUCUACGUAACAGGCGGUGAAAAUUAAAACAAAGCAGGGCGUAGUUUUGAGUAGAAUAGCACCCUUGGGCUUACCAGUGCCUUUGACCUAUUCCUCCCAGACUAGAAAGAUUAUCUGGCUGCCCGAGAGCUCUUAGAGAAAUCCUUUUAUUCAGUGGUGUGGCUGGCAGGGCGGAAUCAGCCCCUAAGACCUACUGUAUCUGCACACUCUGCAAGCAAACCUGACCCUGCGGGCAGGGCCGGCCCACGUGGAAGCCCAGAACAGCGAGCAUGGGAGCUUCCGUGCGUUUUCUUGUCUCGUUCUUGCCACAACCUGUCAUAAGACCAAGAAAACUUGUUUUGAAAGUGCUUGGCAGCCAAAACAACCUGUUCUCAGCCCUGGACAAGAGGGUUUGUCCUCUCUAACCAUGUCUGUCCUGUUUGAUGUUUGACUAGCUGCUGACUGGAAACACUGAAAGGGCUGUUUUCUUCUCGUAUUGUUCGCAGACAAGUGCCAGUGGAUCUUCCGGGUCCCCGUUUUCCUUUUUUGCAGCCCUUCACCAGGGCCGUCUUAAGUCGGUGCCCGAGUCGACUGGGGAAUGAACAUCAGCAACAUAUACUUAGGAAGCUAUAACCCAUGGUUACGUCUCUGCAGGCCGAGCUUGAUAUGUGGGUUCUUUCCCAGCGCCACGAGCUGUUUAACCUGUGUUUUUCCACUGGCCUUGCCGUCCUCUCUGGAGAAGCGGGACGUGUGAGUCAGCAUCUCCAGUUCUCCCAGUGGCUAGCCUGGCCUUCCAGACGGGUGGCUCUGAGACCUGCAGCCCCAUCCCUCUCUGGCCUGGGGUGGUCUCAGGUGGGUCCGGUGAUGGAAGGAGCCUUGGCCCUCCUCUUCUGCAACGAGAGGGCCUGCACUGGUUGAAGAAUUGACAGACGAUUGCCCAAGGGCAACUAUGGGUGCCCCACUUGGUUCUAUAAAUAAAGUUUUAUUGGAACGCACAGCCACACCCAUCCUUUACGUCACGCCCCCGGCUGCUGUCACUCCAGGGGCAGCACUGAAUGGCAGAGACACGGUUUGUGGUCUGCAAAGCUGAAAUACUCUCCGGCCCUUUACAGAAAGGCGAUCCCUGGAUUAGAGGGUUUCCAAAUCCAGCUUUCUCUGACUUUUGAAUCCGAACAGUUCUUUUACAGCCCAAGUGAGCUCCGAAAGUAACAAAUAAGAGACUCACUGGAAGGGGGCAGCUCUCUUCCCUGUUGCAGCUACGGUGCAAAGCCUGCAUUUGCUACUGCUGAAAUCUACAAGGGAGGGGCUUAUUCUGCUGUGUAUUUACAACUUAUUUUGCUGUGUGUCUGUAUCUCUGUAUUGGUCUAAGGGCUCUGGCAUCCUUGAGAUCCAUCCAUUUUGGCUAAAAAAAAAAAAAAAAAAAAGA
rnacentral:lncRNA from 1 species